UUCCCCUCCAGCCUGACAUUCCACAACUUGCUGCUGCUGCUUCUGCUGCAGGCAGGCUUCUUUGUUUCCAGGCUCAGCUGCUCUGGCCGGGCGUCCCCGGGCUCUGCCCUGUUUUGUUUUUGCUGCUGGACCUACUACAGAUGCACUCCUGGCACCGCAGCCCGGAGCACAGCCGAGGAGGCUUCCUCUUUCGCUCAGUUCCUGGCCGCUUCAGUAUGAACAGAAAAAGGUGGGCAGAGGCCAACUGGCAGAAGCCACAGAAAUAGCAGUGCAUGAUUCUCCUACAAGCAGCAGAAAGGUCGGCACACAGGACCCCACCAUCUGCAGAGCUCUUUCAUUGACUAAGGUUGCUUUUGGCACGCACAGGCACCAGGGGUUUCCACGCUCAUUUCCCUUCGGUCAGAGCAGACAGCUUUGCUGAUAGACAACCGGGAGGUGACGCUCCACAGUCCCACGCUGGCCACGGACUGGCCCUGGCCGGGGACAAGAGACGUUCAGCUGCAGAGCCACACGGGAGCCCUCCCUCCACCCCCGCCCCAAAUCGGAAUCUCUUAUUCUGCAGCCUGCAACCUCCUGAGGGGCCUCCCCAGGGCUCAGGCCACCCCUGAGCAGAGGGGGAAAGGUGUGCAGGUCCAGGCUGCAUAAGCAGCAGUGACUCAACCCGCCCGGCACUUGGACUUGCGGGAAAGGCGGGCUCCCUGGAGCAGCAGGCUUCCUUCACCACCAGCACAGUUAGCAACUGCCUGCAGGGAAGUGCGCUAGACACUGCAGCGCUAGACGCUCCGCAGGGAGAGCGAGGGUCAGGCUCUCUACUGCAGCACAGUUUCUCCCUGUCACUCUCCCUCUCUCUCUCUCUCUCUCUCUCUCUCUCUGGGUCUAGGACAACACUGAGGCCAGGACAGUUCCAGUCAUAACUGGAUCUUUCCAUUACUUAGUAGCACACAGGAGGAUCUGUUGGAGUGGUGUUUUGUUUUGUUUUGCUACUAUUAAGCAAGAUUGUUUCAUAAUCCUUUAAGCGGUUUCUUUUCUUCUCUUUCCUUUUUUUUUUUUUUUUUUUUUUUUAGCCAAGUUUUAUUUACAUAUCCUGGCCAGCAAGCGCGUGAUUAACCCAAGGAUAGCACAGAGCGAAGUCAGAUGCAACAUCUGAACAAAACCUGAUGCUGUUUCGUUAAGGAGACACACACAGCUGAGCUGUGAAAAGGACAAUCGUCUCUUGGGCCAGCACCACACCAAACUCUCUGACUCUGGAGACCCUCAGAGACAAGAAGGAGCUGCUGAGGGGGGAGACGGCCCAUCUCUGACCAGGAGAGUCAGGAGCUAGUUCAUUAAGGAGUGGUGUCCAGACUGGAAGUGGAAGAUUCGGGAAGCUUUUCAACAGCUGGAUGUGGAAGACAGAGAUGCCAGUCAAAGUGAAGAUAACAACAUGGAACUGAUUCGGGGAUGAAUUCUGAGCAUCAGCUGGGUGUUCUCACUGGAAUUGCUACACAGUGGUUAUCCAUGGGAAUUUGUCAUAAUGGAAUAGAAGCAAAGUGAAGGAGAAUUACCUUCUCUUCCAAAAGUUCCAAGCAUCACAAAUUGUGUUUUCAUAAAUGUUUGUUUUAUAUAUUACACAAAUCAAUUUUAUAUUGACUAUGGCCUGAAAUUAAAGUGAUUGCUCAUUUAGUAGUCUUCCACUUGGUUUUACAACAUUCCGCUGCAUUGUCAAGUUUCACAUUGCUAAUUUUCCAACAAGCAGUUUUGUUUUCAAAUGCCCCAAGGCCAGUUACUAAGUCCAAACACAAACUUUGUUAAGAAAAGAAACUCCAAGCAGCAAAAAAUUUUAAACACACAUCAUCAGGAUCCCAGUGUACAUGGCAUUUCCUCUCAUUUUAGAGUUCUGUUCUCUUACAUACUUACCGGUUUUUCUUCUAUAGUUUCCAUUUUGAUGAGUCUCAGUUUGCAGGAGAAUUCCCAAUUUAUUAAUCAUAAAACACUUCUCAUAUCUACCCUGGUCAAUCUAGCAGGGUAUGUUUAUCUAGUAUGUUAUGAACAAUACAAUUCUUCUAGAAAAGGUUAGUGUUUCAAGUCCUAACAAAAAUAUGUUUUGUUAGAAUACAACAUAUAUUUGAUAAAUAAAUAUGUUUGAUAAUCAUGUUUACAUAGGGUAGUAGCAAACCCCAUAAAUGCUGAUUUGAAAGUGAAAAUACUUUAAGUUUACACAUGCCAUGAACAAUUCAUCAAUGUCAUUCAUUAUUUUGCAAAGUAUUAUCUUCUCCAAAUGAAGCGGAAUUUAUAAAACUAAAGAAGUGUAACAGUCAUGUUCUGAGCAAAAGUAUUUAUCCAUUUUUAUUAGAAAGGGGACUUUUAGAACAGAAUUGUGUGAGAUAAUUUUGUCUAGAAAAAUCAAAGAUUUCAGAGAAAAACUUAUCUGGGAAAAAGAACACCUACUUCUGUUUUGAAAGUUGGAAUAACGUGUGCAUACAUAUGAAGAAUUAUCAGAAAGAUAAGUAGCCUAAGGAUCAUUUAUAAAUGCCUAUCACUAAAGUAACUAAAAAUGAGUCAAAACUUUACUUGGGAAGAGAUUACCUUUUUGUUAUUUUGCUUUAGGUGGUAAAUUAGGCACAAAUCUCAGCUUUCCUUUUGUCAAUAAAGAUUUUGCUAGUCUGGCAAACUUUUCAAAAUGAAGAGAAAGGUGAUAGAAGCAUCUAUUCACUCAUUCAAGAAAAUGUCAUACAGUAAAAUCUGAGAGAGAAUUCAUUUUCCUUUUUUUGCAUUAAAUUUUAAAUUACUUAUCUAUGAUGAAAUUUAUGGUUUUCUUCCUGGGAGGUGUUAAGAUGAUGCUUUUUUUUUCUUCUUCAGAGCAAUUACAUCAUAGUUUAAAUGUCAUCUUACCUACCAAGAUAUUUCUUUGCCAUGCCAUUAAGGUAAAAUUAAGAUAACUUACGCAACAGCAAAAACGUCUUUGUUAAAUGAGCCCUUUUUUAUUUAAUUUAAUAAAGCAGGUAAAAUGUAACACGUAGAAAGCAUCUGUAUCAAUAAUAUCAGACUAUGUAUUGUCAGUUUUAAAUGACAAGAUAAUUUGGAACUACUUCAAAGUUUAUUGAUUAAAUGUUGAGUACAAUUGAAUCUUCACUCUGAGAAGCAGCUAUCUUUGAAUAUAAAUAUACUAGAAAUCUGCUCUUUCAACUCUGUUCAAGACUGUUAAAACACACAAGAACUCAUAGCUGCUCCCUAAAUCACUUUAUAUGUAUCACCGGUUGCUAUGGCAGUUUACAACACUGAAAACUAUCAAAUAUAACCUGGUUAGUGGCCACAGUCACAGAGAAAACCACACAAAACAUUAAUCCCCAAAAGAUGAGCAUAGAGUCAUUUUUAAUAAAUACUGUACAUGGUGUACUCAAAGCUACUGAAAAGAUAUAUCAAAAUUUACUUCUGAAUUUUGAGCCUUUGUUUUUAGCUAGUGUACAAAUGUACAAACAACGUACAGAAAUUUUUUUCUGAUUUAUGUGUAAAGCUAAAAAAAAGGUGACUUUUUUUAUCUUCACCUUCACUUCUCUGCACAUGCCCUAAUCCUGAGAUAUUUCCUCUUUGCUAGCUCAAGUACAACCAAACAUGAAGAUUUUUUUUAAACUGCAAUUUAAAAUGCAUAAAGAAAAACACUGGAAGUUACCCUUGGUUGGGUUCUAUCCUGCCCCAAACUACACAAUAAAUGAGUCAAAUGUUUGUUUAAAAAAUUUCUCAUUGUCCUAUUCAGAGCAUUUCUACAUCAUCUGAGGGUGGAAAGGCUUUUGAGAGACUGUGAUAUAUUAUGUUGCAGGUUUAUUGUAGACAGCAUACUUUAUGAGCACAUUUAAGGCUGUAAAAUUCAUGAAAUUUUUUCUAGUAUUCCACAAUUGGAUUUUCUUCUAAUUAUCAUCUACUUGGCAAAGUACUUAACUUUAACAGCGGGAUUUGGUUUUCCAAUAAUCAUGUAAAUAAGCACAAAGUAAAUUAAUCUUUAUUAUUUUUGAAGGAAAUUACAAAGCUUCACCACAGACAAAAUGUAUAGCUUUGACUCGUUUUUAACUAUUUCACAACUGGUGCAAAUCUGAACUGUUCAUUCUCCCCCUCUCCUCCCCCUCCCGUCUCUGUUUUGUUUCAUACAUUUGGAAUUGUUCCUUUAAAAACAACAUUGUGAGCAUCUUUGUGAACUUUGUGGGUUAACCGUCGAUUGGAAAUCUCACCAAUAUUAAAGGUAGGGAAUCAGUCUUGGGUUACCCACCUGGGACAAAUCUUUAGGUGCGGAACUAGAAUGAGAAAAUUACAGGAAGGUUCCUGUGGGCAUUGAGAAAGUUGGGAAGACUUAAGAAAUCUCACCUUUUGAGCUGCUUUGGAGGGACUCUUGUUUUUGCUGCCUUUGGGUCUUCCCCUUGGUCUCUUAGGAGAGGGCUCACCGGUUGGCUCCUAGUUUCAGGGGAAAAAAAUGCUGUUGUGGCAAGAGUGUCUGAAAGAAAUUGACCCUGACUCUGGAGUUAUAUUUUCUGCUGUACUACUCAACAGAACUGCUGGAACACAUUCAGUUCAAGCAUAAAUGGAUGAGGAUGGUACAGAGUUUACAGAAAGGGGCAAUAACUCUACUCUGAAUCCAAGGAUUCAAAGAGGACUUUCUAUUUUCAAUGUGAAAACUAGAUUUCUAUUUCAACCCUCAAAAGGUAACAAAGGCUGACGAGUUUGCAUAUUCUAGUUAUACAUUUUUUAAGGUGUAAAACUUACAGGUGAUGCAUUUGGUAAUUCAUAUGAAAUAAUAUGAAAUAAAAUAAUAAUUUUAUAUAAAUGCUAUUCUCCAUUGUACAGGCAUUUCAAACAACAGAAAUAUAAAGCUAUAUCAUAAAUAUUUCAACAACCUUCCAUACUGAAAAGGUGGUUUUUGAUCAUUCUGUAUCUGCCUUGUAGGUCAAUUAUGACUCAAUCAACACAUUGAGUGAAAUAUUGCAGCAAUUAUCCAAGUUCUUCAACUUAAAAUAACUCCAUUCCCCCCUAAAAUUUCCAAAUAAUUAUGGUAAAUCUGUUGAGGGAGGUUUUGCUUGAAUUAUCUAGAUAAUUGCUUCAAUUCUCCACUUCCUUUUGGAGAUGAAGGAAUGGUCUCCACUCUAGAUUUAAGUACCUUUUGAUAAAAACAAACAUUUCUCCAAAACUUUCUUUUGAGAAAACUCUUAUGGGGAUGGGCUGAAGAAAAUUAAAUGGGGUAGGGAGGAGUGAGGAGGAAUGAAAGUGUCUGGGAAGGAGAAAUUAAAACUAUCAACGGGUUCAGCAAAACUUUAAAUGGCUUGUAUGUCAAGCAGCAAAUACUCAAGUGGUAAGGGAAUGCAAUGAUUAAUAUUCCAGAUCCUAAAUAUUUAUCCAGUGAAUCAUCAAUUUACAAUUCAUUCAGAUUCGGUGAUUAAAUGAGACUAAUUAGCUUAAAAUGCAUGAAAGUCUUCGCUGAAAAUUUGCAUCUUAUUUAGUGAACAUGGGGAAGGUUUCCUGCAAGCUUCUGUGGGACCACUAGCGCCAGUGGGCACAUCCGGCGCAAACACAUCGGGGACACAUUUUUCUUUCUUUGUGAACUCCGCCUUAACUCAAAGGUAAAACCUCCAAUCACCUCCAGACCCCAUUGCAAUUUCUUUUGGAUUAUUUUUUGGAGGUGGGGGGCAAUUAGUAGAAUUAUAGAGAGCAGGGUGGCGGGUGGGAAACAGGGGUGGGGGGAGGGCAGUGACUUCCUGGGAGGUGUAAAACAGGAUCCUAAUGCGGUAUAAAGUGUCGCUCGGGCUGAGCGGGAAAACUCCGGGGCCUCUAGAUGGGCUUGUUUCCUUUGAUGAUUUCAAAAAGGUACAACAGUUUUAAUAAAACGCGCUGGCAAGCAAACAUUGUUCUCUUUCCCCACCUUGCUCUCGGGCAGCUUUGGGACUCUAGGAUUAUUUGCUAAUCGGCCUAUUUGCCAUGAAGGAAGCGCUUUCAGGCUAAAAAACGAAGAAGAAGUUUUAAAGCCCGCGGAAGCGGAGUUUAAAUGUUCUCAAUAGACAAGUCCCGCUCCAGCCCUGCCGGCGGAGGCUUGGAAAUUGCCGCGAACAAAACCCCUCCGCCCUGGGCGCUGCGCGCAGCUCUGCAAGCGCCGGCUGCACGCUUAAUUGGUUGCAUCCGCAGACAAAACCCUCCACUCCGCGGGGUCCCGGGCGCCCCACAAUUGUCCCUUCCCAACCCCCAGCCACUCGCCCGGGAGAAGCACUUUUAAUGUCUGCAGCUCUGAGGCCCGGGAUACAGGGGCAAAAGGGGGACUGGGCGCCUGGCGAGGAAGUGACCCUAGCUACCGUGCACCCUCUCGGACACUACUUUCCACCGUGCCCUUGGCCAAACCAGUUAAUCCCAUCCCUUGGGGACCCAGGCUCUCCUGCAGCCCCUUUCCCGGGACACUUCAGCAGCAGCAGCAGCGGCCCGCAGACCAGCCGCCGCGCCACAUUUAAAGAACCUUAAGAGAUCCGGGCGGGCCCACGAGUUCUUUGUCGGGAGGGCGCGAGUCUCAGGCCACCGAGAACUUGGAGAGGGCGCCAAGGGGGCGGCUGCGGCGCGCCAGUUCCCGACUAGAGAGCAGCCCCGGUUGGCGGGAGAAAGAGCCUCCGGCCCCCAGGACUUCGGCUCCUCCAACCCUGAUCCGCCAGAACACUCCUGCUCCCCGGCCACUGUAAACCGGCUCGGAAAGUGCCUGGCGAGCCCCGGUUUGUCGGACCCGGCCGCUUCCCGUUACCAGGAGACACCGCGCCACUCGGGCCGGCACAAUAGCGAAAGUCGGAGGACGCAAUUCGCCCGACCCCACCUCCCGCCCGCACCCAGCCGCCAAAGACGGCUCCCCACCUCCCGGCCGGGAGGGCGCGGGCGCCUGGGGCUCAGCCGCGCACUCGCGCGGGGGACUCCGCAGCCCGCCCCCGCGACAGCGUGCGGCGGCCGCGGCGACUGGGCUCCCGCGCUCGGAUGGCCGCGCGUCGCGGGGCCCUUGCAGAGGGCUCGGAGGUGGGCUGUGCCCCCACCCCGCCUGCG